rnacentral:rRNA from 1 species
UAGGGAAUCUUCGGCAAUGGGGGGAACCCUGACCGAGCAACGCCGCGUGAGUGAAGAAGGUUUUCGGAUCGUAAAGCUCUGUUGUUAAGGAAGAACGAGUGUGAGAAUGGAAAGUUCAUGCUGUGACGGUACUUAACCAGAAAGGGACGGCUAACUACGUGCCAGCAGCCGCGGUAAUACGUAGGUCCCGAGCGUUGUCCGGAUUUAUUGGGCGUAAAGCGAGCGCAGGCGGUUAGAAAAGUCUGAAGUGAAAGGCAGUGGCUCAACCAUUGAAGGCUUUGGAACUUGUUUACCUUGAGUGCGAAAGGGGAGGUUGGAAUUCAAGGUGAAGGGUGGAAUUGCGUGGAUUUAUGAGGAACACCGGUGGCGAAAGCGGCUCUCUGGUCUGUAACUGACGCUGAGGCUCGAAAGCGUGGGGAGCGAACAGG